AUUGAACGCUGGCGGCAUGCCUUACACAUGCAAGUCGAACGGUAGCGGGCCUUCGGGUGCCGACGAGUGGCGAACGGGUGAGUAAUGUAUCGGAACGUACCAUUGAGUGGGGGAUAACGUAGCGAAAGUUACGCUAAUACCGCAUAUUCUCUCCGGAGGAAAGCAGGGGACCGCAAGGCCUUGCGCUCUUUGAGCGGCCGAUAUCAGAUUAGCUAGUUGGUGAGGUAAAGGCUCACCAAGGCGACGAUCUGUAGCGGGUCUGAGAGGAUGAUCGCCACACUGGAACUGAGACACGGUCCAGACUCCUACGGGAGGCAGCAGUGGGGAAUUUUGGACAAUGGGGGGCAACCCUGAUCCAGCCAUGCCGCGUGAGUGAAGAAGGCC
rnacentral:rRNA from 1 species